rnacentral:rRNA from 1 species
UGGGGAAUUUUGCACAAUGGGGGAAACCCUGAUGCAGCGACGCCGCGUGAUUUAGAAGGCCUUCGGGUUGUAAAAAUCUUUUUUACGGGAUGAAAAUGACAGUACCGUAAGAAUAAGGUCCGGCUAAAUACGUGCCAGCAGCCGCGGUAAUACGUAUGGACCGAGCGUUGUCCGGAAUCAUUGGGCGUAAAGGGUACGUAGGCGGCCUAGUAAGUUAGAAGUGAAAUAAUAUAGUUCAACUAUAUAAAGCUUUUAAAACUGCUAGGCUUGAGAGAUGGAAGGGAAAGUGGAAUUCCUAGUGUAGCGGUGAAAUGCGCAGAUAUUAGGAAGAAUACCGGUGGCGAAGGCGACUUUCUGGUCAUCAUCUGACGCUGAGGUACGAAAGCGUGGGUAGCAAACAGG